rnacentral:rRNA from 1 species
AACUAACGCUGGCGGCGUGCCUAACACAUGCAAGUCGUACGAGAAAGUUGGCUUCGGCCGAUGAGUAAAGUGGCGCACGGGUGAGUAACGCGUGGAUAAUCUACCCCUCAGUUGGGAAUAACUCAUCGAAAGGUGGGCUAAUACCGAAUAAUACUGCAUGACUUCUGUUGUGUAGUCAAAGAUGGCCUCUGCUUGCAAGCUAUCGCUGAAGGAUGAGUCCGCGUACCAUUAGCUAGUUGGUAGGGUAAUGGCCUACCAAGGCAACGAUGGUUAGCUGGUCUGAGAGGAUGAUCAGCCACACUGGAACUGAGACACGGUCCAGACUCCUACGGGAGGCAGCAGUGAGGAUAUUGCGCAAUGGGGGCAACCCUGACGCAGCAACGCCGCGUGAGUGAGGAAGGUUUUCGGACCGUUAAAGCUCGUCGAGCGGGAAGAAAUGCAUAGUGGCUAAUAUCCAUUAUGCUUGACGGUACCG